rnacentral:rRNA from 1 species
GACGAACGCUGGCGGCGUGCUUAACACAUGCAAGUCGAGCGAUGAAGUUCCUUCGGGAACGGAUUAGCGGCGGACGAGUGAGUAACACGUGGGUAACCUGCCUCACAGAGGGGAAUAGCCUUUCGAAAGGAAGAUUAAUACCGCAUAAGAUUGUAGUAUCGCAUGAUACAGCAAUUAAAGGAGUAAUCCGCUAUGAGAUGGACCCGCGUCGCAUUAGCUAGCUGGUGAGGUAACGGCUCACCAAGGCGACGAUGCGUAGCCGACCUGAGAGGGUGAUCGGCCACAUUGGGACUGAGACACGGCCCAGACUCCUACGGGAGGCAGCAGUGGGGAAUAUUGCACAAUGGGGGAAACCCUGAUGCAGCAACGCCGCGUGAGUGAUGACGGUCUUCGGAUUGUAAAACUCUGUCUUCAGGGACGAUAAUGACGGUACCUGAGGAGGAAGCCACGGCUAACUACGUGCCAGCCGCCGCGGUAA